rnacentral:rRNA from 1 species
GGCGAACGGGUGAGUAACACGUGGAUAACCUGCCUCAAGGCUGGGGAUAACAUUUGGAAACAGAUGCUAAUACCGAAUAAAACUUAGUAUCGCAUGAUACAAAGUUGAAAGGCGCUACGGCGUCACCUAGAGAUGGGUCCGCGGUGCAUUAGUUAGUUGGUGGGGUAAAGGCCUACCAAGACAAUGAUGCAUAGCCGAGUUGAGAGACUGAUCGGCCACAUUGGGACUGAGACACGGCCCAAACUCCUACGGGAGGCUGCAGUAGGGAAUCUUCCACAAUGGGCGAAAGCCUGAUGGAGCAACGCCGCGUGUGUGAUGAAGGCUUUAGGGUCGUAAAGCACUGUUGUAUGGGAAGAAAUGCUAGAAUAGGGAAUGAUUCUAGUUCGACGGUACCAUACCAGAAAGGGACGGCUAAAUACGUGCCAGCAGCCGCGGUAAUACGUAUGUCCCGAGCGUUAUCCGGAUUUAUUGGGCGUAAAGCGAGCGCAGACGGUUGAUUAAGUCUGAUGUGAAAGCCCGGAGCUCAACUCCGGAAUGGCAUUGGAAACUGGUUAACUUGAGUGUUGUAGAGGUAAGUGGAACUCCAUGUGUAGCGGUGGAAUGCGUAGAUAUAUGGAAGAACACCAGUGGCGAAGGCGGCUUACUGGACAACAACUGACGUUGAGGCUCGAAAGUGUGGGUAGCAAACAGGAUUAGAUACCCUGGUAGUCCACACCGUAAACGAUGAAUACUAGGGUGUUAGGAGGGUUUCCGCCCUCUUAGUGCCGAAGCUAACGCAUUAUAGUAUUCCGCCUGGGGAGUACGACCGCACAGGUUGAAACUCAAAAGGAAUUGACGGGGACCCGCACAAGCGGUGGAGCAUGUGGUUUAAUUCGAAGCAACGCGAAGAACCUUACCAGGUCUUGACAUCUCCUGAAGCUUCUAGAGAUAGAAGUGUUCUCUUCGGAGACAAAAA